rnacentral:rRNA from 1 species
ACAUAAGCACAGAGGGAGCUUUGCUCCUUGGGUGACGAGUGGCGGACGGGUGAGUAAUGUCUGGGAAACUGCCCGAUGGAGGGGGAUAACUACUGGAAACGGUAGCUAAUACCGCAUAACGUCGCAAGACCAAAGAGGGGGACCUUCGGGCCUCUUGCCAUCGGAUGUGCCCAGAUGGGAUUAGCUAGUAGGUGGGGUAACGGCUCACCUAGGCGACGAUCCCUAGCUGGUCUGAGAGGAUGACCAGCCACACUGGAACUGAGACACGGUCCAGACUCCUACGGGAGGCAGCAGUGGGGAAUAUUGCACAAUGGGCGCAAGCCUGAUGCAGCCAUGCCGCGUGUAUGAAGAAGGCCUUCGGGUUGUAAAGUACUUUCAGCGAGGAGGAAGGUGUUGUGGUUUUUAUCCUCAACAUNGACGUUACUUGUGGGGGGGGACAGCCCCCCCCCGUUCUA